rnacentral:rRNA from 1 species
UACGUAGGGUGCGAGCGUUAAUCGGAAUUACUGGGCGUAAAGCGUGCGCAGGCGGUUUUGUAAGCCAGAUGUGAAAGCCCCGGGCUUAACCUGGGAAUGGCAUUUGGGACUGCAAGGCUUGAGUGCGGCAGAGGAGACUGGAAUUCCUGGUGUAGCAGUGAAAUGCGUAGAUAUCAGGAGGAAUACCGAUGGCGAAGGCAGCUCGCUGGGACGUGACUGACGCUGAGACGCGAAAGCGUGGGGAGCAAACAGG